AUUGAACGCUGGCGGCAUGCUUUACACAUGCAAGUCGAACGGUAACAGGCCGCAAGGUGCUGACGAGUGGCGAACGGGUGCGUAAUGCAUCGGAACGUGCCCAGUCGUGGGGGUAACUACUGGGAAAGAGAAGUAAAUACGGAUUACUACCAUUGGUUGAAGGUGGGGGCCGUAAGGGCUCUGGGCGAUUGGUGGGUCGAUGUCGGGUUAGGGAGUUGGUGGGGUAAAGGCUCACCAAGCCAACGAUCUGUAGCUGGUCUGAGAGGACGACCAGCCACACUGGGACUGAGACACGGCCCAGACUCCUACGGGAGGCAGCAGUGGGGAAUUUUGGACAAUGGGCGCAAGCCUGAUCCAGCAAUGCCGCGUGCAGGAAGAAGGCCUUCGGGUUGUAAACUGCUUUUGUACGGAACGAAACGGCUCUGGUUAAUACCCGGGGCUAAUGACGGUACCGUAAGAAUAAGCACCGGCUAACUACGUG
rnacentral:rRNA from 1 species